GAUGAACGCUAGCGGCAGGCUUAACACAUGCAAGUCGGAGGGGUAGUCAUCUUCGGAUGAUGAGACCGGCGCACGGGUGCGUAACGCGUAUACAAUCUACCUUUUACAGAGGGAUAGCCCAGAGAAAUUUGGAUUAAUACCUCAUAGUAUUUUUGAAUCGCAUGAUUUGAUUAUUAAAGUUCCAACGGUAAAGAUGAGUA
rnacentral:rRNA from 1 species